rnacentral:lncRNA from 1 species
ACAUGGAUCUUAGAAAUGAGGGUGGCAAGGCAUAUGCACAUGGUGUUCUGUUGCUGAAUAGCAAUGGAAUGGAUGUGUUUUACACAGGCACAUCUCUAACAUACAAGGUCAUUGGAGGAGUUUUAGAUUUUUACUUCUUUGCAGGACCUUCUCCUCUCAAUGUUGUGGAUCAAUACACUUCUUUGAUUGGAAGACCAGCUCCAAUGCCUUACUGGGCUUUCGGUAUGACUUUCUUUUUUCAUUUUGAUUAUCAUUUCUAGUAACAAUUUUCAUUUAUAACAAUGAUUUUCUCUUAUGUAUACAUUUAACAGGAUUUCAUCAAUGCAAAUUUGGAUAUCAAAACGUGUCAGUUGUAGAAGAAGUUGUUGAGAAUUACCAGAAGGCUAAAAUCCCACUUGAUGUUAUUUGGAAUGAUGAUGAUCACAUGGAUGGGGCAAAGGACUUCACACUCCACCCAGUCAACUACCCUCGUUCCAAGCUUCUAAAGUUCUUGGACAAAAUUCACAACAUUGGCAUGAAAUAUGUUGUGAUCAUUGAUCCAGGAAUUGCUGUGAACGAAAGCUAUGAGGUAUACCAACGGGGAAUGGCUAAUGAUGUUUUCAUCAAGCAUGAUGGGGAACCCUUCACGGGUCAAGUUUGGCCCGGUGCAGUAUAUUUCCCUGAUUUUCUAAAUCCAAAGACAGUUUCAUGGUGGGGUGACGAGAUUCGUCGCUUCCAUGAACUUGUCCCUGUUGAUGGCCUCUGGAUUGACAUGAAUGAAGCUUCAAAUUUCUGCACUGGAAAGUGCAGAAUCCAUGAGGGAAGGAUUUGUCCAAAUGAAACACAACCUUGGAUAUGCUGCUUUGAUUGUAGAGACAUAACAAACACAAAAUGGGACAACCCUCCCUACAAAAUCAAUGCUUCAGGAGUACAUGCUCCUUUAGGAUCCAAAACUAUAGCCACUAGUGCGGUUCAUUAUAAUGGAGUUCUAGAGUAUGAUGCUCACAGCCUCUAUGGUUUAUCUGAAUCCAUUGCAACUCACAAAGCCCUUCUAGACAUUCAGAAAAAACGACCUUUUAUCUUGUCACGCUCCACAUAUGUUGGUUCAGGCAAGUAUGUUGCACAUUGGACAGGUGACAUUUUAUCCAGAUGGGAGGAUUUGGGAUACUCAAUAAUCACAAUGCUUAAUUUUGGAUUAUAUGGGAUUCCAAUGGUUGGUGCUGAUAUAUGUGGUUUCUUUAUAACUUUCACUGAUCAUGAAGAGCUUUGUAACCGAUGGAUUCAACUUGGUGCAUUCUAUCCCUUCUCAAGGGAUCAUGCAGACCUUAAUUCCCCAAGACAGGAGCUUUAUUUAUGGGAUUCAGUUGCUGAGUCUGCUAGAAAUGCUUUGGGUAUGAGGUAUAAGCUUCUUCCCUAUCUGUACACACUCAACUAUGAGGCUCAUGUUAGUGGUGCCCCAAUUGCAAGGCCACUUUUCUUCUCAUUUCCAUCCUAUGUUGAAUGUUAUGGCCUCAGCACACAGUUUUUGCUUGGAAAAAGUUUGAUAAUUUCUCCUGUUCUUGAACAAGGCAAAACACAAGUGAAUGCACUGUUUCCACCUGGAACAUGGUAUAGUUUAUUUGAUUUGACAUAUACCAUUGUGUCAAAAGAGGGGACUUAUGUUACACUUGAUGCACCUUUGAAUGUGGUGAAUGUGCAUUUGUAUCAGAAUGUUAUUCUUCCAAUGCAACAGGGUGGAAUGGUAACUAAGGAAGCUAGAACCACACCCUUCAACCUUAUUGUGACAUUCCCAGCAGGAGCAAAUGAUGGAGAAGCCACAGGUAACCUCUUCCUUGAUGAUGAUGAGCAGCAAGAGAUGAAGCUUGGAAGUGGUUAUCCAAUUGCAACCUACAUUGAUUUUCAUGCAACUGUGAGAGAGGAAACUGUGAAGGUUUGGUCACAAGUUGUAGAAGGUGAGUUUGCUUUAGAAAAAGGUUGGAUUAUUGACAAGAUUAGCGUGUUGGGAUUAAAUGGGGGUGGAGAAUUACAGAGUUAUGAUAGAUGAAGAACCAUUGACAUAUGUCUCAAAUGUGAAAGUUUACACAACAGAACAUAAGUACUUGCAUGAUGAGGGAGAUGGAAGAAAUAAUAUUGAGAUGGUAGAGUUUGAGCGCUUGAAUAUCCCUCUUGGUAAAAACUUUACUUUGUCUUGGAAGAUGACGUAUUAAUGUGUUGAUAUUGAAUAAGUCGAUGUAUGUUAUUUUGAGACAUUAGAAUGCUUUGAUUUAUGUUUCUUUGUGCUUUUUAUGUCUGUCUAGAUGAUCUGAUUCGUGUAAUAAAACGAAAGCUUUAAGAACGUGGAUCAAUGAGUAUGAAUCUACUUUUGAGGGUACCCUCAUCAAACUUUUCAUGGGUGCAUAUCUUUGACUUCAAGAUCGCAUAAGAAUUUUUCAAAGUGCCACUAUUGAUCACUGAACACUCUGCAUCAUUAACGCGUCAAUUUAAAAUGGAUAAUUUAUGACAAUUUAGAUUGAGCAUCAUUAUCAGGCUGAUAAUAUAGUCGUAAACUAAUGAUCUUAGCCAACAAAGGUAGAAGAAAUUUUGUAAUGUUUACAUAGUACAAAGGUCACUGGGGCAAAUUAUAACGAGGAAUGUUAGGACGAGCAAGUUUUGUAAUUUGUAGUCAUCAAUUAGUUAUCAUUGAUGUUUUUAAUGGUAUGAGAUUUCAUCUAAUGGUGUGUGAAAUCAAAUUACUUAUUUUUCUUUUGAUGGUUAAGUAUUGACCAAAUUUUAAUAAAAAUGCUGACUUUCUAGAUUUUUUCAAUUAUUGCGUCCGCUUUCUUUCCAUUUUAAAAUAAAAUAAACGUGCAAAUAUUUACACAUGAUGGUAUGAUUAAAGCACGCCUUUGUGUUAUUCUGACAUUAAAACAUUUUCAUACGAGUAAUUAAUUAUUAUUAAAAAAUUGUCUUAACUGUUUUUGGUUUUAUUUAAAUUUUACGUCGGCAGCUCUAGUUGAGAGACAUCAAGUCCCCUUUGUGGAACUGUAAACAGAGCACUAGGAUUGAGCUGGGCUUUCAACUCUAGGAGAAGUUUUUAAUUGACCUUGAAUUUAACUGCUUUAGUAAAAUAAGUUUUUAAUUGUAACUUUACCUUUGUUUUUGUUUUUCUUUGUUCGACAACAAGCUUUUGGGCCACAUCUCAAAAGAAAUGAACCCGUAUCAUUAGAGGCCACGUUUUAGGCCUAAAGCGAUAAGGUUAAAUGGCGCAUGAACACCAAUUAUGGUUGGGUCAAUGUCAAUCAUUUAGUAUUUGAAUUGAAUUUUCUUAAAUAAUGAUUAGUGAAAUAUAUUUUUAAUCAAAAAAGUAUUUUUAUACGCUUUUUAAUUUCUAUAUAGAACCGUGGCUGGUGUUGCACCCGGUUAUAGGAAGGAAGGAGGCUGCACAUUGGUGUGGAGUCAGGACAUGAGGAAAUUGGAUCGUGCGACAUCCAGUUCGCAACACGGACCAUGCGACAUCCAUUUCGCAACUCGAAUGGUCCGUUUUGUGGCUCUCUGGACACGCGUCACGCAAAGCUACCUCCCCAAACGGUGCCCAAUAUACUAACAUAGUGCAUGCAGUAGGGACUCUCACCAUCCGAUAACUCACUUUCAGCAUUCACUCUCAACCUCAAAACUUCAUUCUUCUUCUUCAUUCCUCUGCUGGUAGUGGGUGUGCAUGGUGGAAAAAAAAAAAGAAAAUGCUAAAGAAAUAUAAAAUUAAAUAUGUUGAUCGUCCUGAGCUUCAUAUUAGACACUAUCUCAAUCAUUCAGAUUAUGUAAGUUUGUUUAAAUUUUUUUUUUAAUUUUUAUAAUUACAAAUAUUAUUGUUAGAAAUUUAGUUGUUGUUGUUGUUGUUGUUAGGAUCUAAACUUAGAAAUAUACAUAGAAUGGUUAGGACUAUUUUUUAAUUUUUUUUAUUUUUUUCUGAAAUUUUUUAAUUAUUAUUUUUUUAAAAUUAUUGUUGUUAGGAUCUUAAUUAUUAUUAUUGUUGUUAGACAUUGAAUCUGAAAAUGUAAAUAGGAUGAUGUUAUAUUUAGGUAAAACAAAAGCAGUAUUUUUUUUUGAAAUUUGUUUAAUUUUUUUUAAUAUAUGUAUUAGUGUUAGGAAGUGAAUAUUAAUAUUUAGAAAAUAAAUUAUAAAAUGUAAACCAGGUUAUUAUUAAUUUUUUUUAUACAACGUUUUUUUUAAUCUUUUUUAAAUUUUUAGUUAUAAUUGUUAGGAAAUUAAAUAUUAUUGUGUUGUCAGUAAUUGAAUGUAGGAAUAAAAACUGAAUGAUUAGUAUUAAUUUUUGAAAGUACGUUAGUUUAUUUUUGUUAAUUAUAAUUAUCAUUGUUAGGAAGUUAAUUAUUAUUGUUAUUAGAAAAUGAAUUAAAAAAGAUAAUGAGAAUAAUUAUUAGUAUUUUUUAAAAUUUAGAAAUGUGUGUUUAAUUUUACUUAAGUAAUACUUAAUAGGUAAUUAAUAUUAUAAAUUAUAAUGUUAUAUAUUAGAAAAAUUGGGAUCUAUCGCAAAUAAAUAAAUAACCAGCAUCUCUAAUGUUGUAAUAUUCUUGAGAAUUGAUUAUGAAUGUAUGUAAUAGUUGAUGUUAUUAAUAGUUAGUUUUGAGAAAUUUAGAAUGUGAAUUUACUGAGCAUCUCUGCCGGCAUUUGCACCACCUGACUGACGGUAUCUGCUACGGCUGUGUCCCUCAGCUCCACAUAGCCUAUAUCGCCUAGGCCGACGUAACAUUCGCGUGUCCAUCUCAUUCAAGAAGCGCGUCAUUCUGGGGCGACCUUUCGUCACGCGUCUCAGGAACGGAUUCGGCAUGAACCUAGGUCCGUUGUAAGCAGGCCAUGUAGUAGGAUUACCUAGUGGCCUAAACCUUACUCGGUACACCCGCCGAACUUGGUCCAUCUUAUACACAUCAUGCACAUACAUUUGUCAAUCCAGUCGCUGGUUGGCACAACAUGCGAACACAUGUCGACAGGGGAUUCGGUCCACCUGGAACUCAUCACAGUCACAUCGAAGGCCACGUAGGUCGACUGCAAACUCCAGUCCACUUGGCAUCUCACGCACCUCAAAGACCUCAUUCUGCCGGUCAAAGCAACUAACCUGUAUGUUUCCUGAUGCAAGUUGGUUUGCAUGCAACUUCGAGGUCACGACAUCAGAAAACACAUGCCCAGUAUUAAUCCGGGCUUCCGCCUCCGCUCUUUUUCGAGUAAACAACUCGUUAAGCCUGUAGAAUGUUGCCUUCACAAGGACAGUAACGGGGAGAUUGCGUGCACCCUUCAAUACUGAAUUGAUGCAUUCCACUAAAUUCGUCGUCAUAUGCCCCCAUCGAUAUCCACCAUCAAAAGCCAACGUGUACUGUUCGCGGGGGGAUUCGGUUUAACCAGUUAGUGUAGGCCUCGCCCCGUUCUCGUAGACGCUGGUAGCGUACUUCAUACUCCCGCACCGUCCUCGAAUAUCCUGCAGGAUAAAAAGAAACAAACGUAAAAAAAGAGGUAAACACACUUAUUGAAGGUAACUCCGUUAGUAAAUUAAUUAGCUUUACUAAGCGUUACCUAUAUUGACGACCAGUUUCUGCAAGUACGGCGCCUUGAAUUUUCUCAGAAAAUUCGACUCUAUAUGCCUGAUGCAAAACAUAUGAAAAGCUUUAAGAGGUGACCAAACACCGUUACUCCUUUCCACAGCUGCAUUUAUGGAUUCGUGACGGUCGGAUAUCAGUCCCACACCAUCCCGAGUGACAACAUACUGACGAAGGUUUCUAAGGAAAAAGUGCCACGCAUCAGAAGUCUCUCCCUCCACAAUAGCAAACGCAAUUGGGACGAUAUUGUUGUUGGCAUCCUGUGAAACUGCCACUAGUAGACAACCCUUGUACUUUCCGUACAAGUGAGUCCCAUCUACCUGGACAACUGGCUUACAAUGUCUGAAUGCUCUAAUGCAGGGGUACUAACUCCAAAAGACCCGAUGCAAUAUCCAAAUAUCAGUCACCAGGUCAUCUUCUUGAUAUGCAUGCAUAGUCUCAAAAUGUACAACAGCUGACGGCUCCUUAUGACACAUGGCCUCAAACCAUAUAGGCAAGGUUUCGUACGAUGCUUCCCAGCCUCCAAAUAUUUUUUCUACUGCCUUUUGCUUAGCCAACCAUGCUUUCCGAUAACUAACGAUGUAGUUGAACUUCGAUUGCGCCUCUGCUAUAACCGAUUUUACCUUUAAGGCGGGGUCAGCCUCAACCAACGGCUUUAUUGCUUCUGCAAUUGUGGUCGAAUCCAGCUUUGAAUGAUCCUGAGAAAUUGUGGAUCUGGUACAUGUGUGACUGCCAUUAUACCUCCUUAUAACCCAACAGUACUUCCGCCUGAUCAUGCUAACCCGGAUAAGCCAAUCACACCCUGACCCAUACUGUGUACACUUCGCAUAAAAUGUCAACGGCUCAGACUCAUACACCCGGUAAUCUACGCUUCUUCGUAUGGUAUACUCUUUUAUCGCCUUAAUAAUAGCUUCCUUGGAACUGAAUUCCAUCCCAACGGUAAAUUCACCAUCUGCGACAAAAGGAAUUUCUGCCACAAGGACAGCCAUACAAAAAAUAUUUAAUACACAAAUAUUUAAACAUCGAAAAUAAAGAUAAAUCAAUUUUUACUGCAUCAAUUAUGAUAUAAAUCCAAAUUAUUUAUAUUUAACUAAUUUACUUAUUUACUAACUAAAUUAACUCAUAAAUACUAACUGAUAUUUAACUAAUUUACUAAUUUAUAUAUAAAUUCUAAUUUAUAUUCAACUAAUUCAAUAACUCCCUACAAAUUUUACUUUCUUAAACUUAAAUACACAAAUAGGUAAACAAAAAUAAAUACUAAUCGAGUAUAUUUUCACACUUCACUUAACUAGUUGGUGCAACUAUUAAGAUAAAUUAUUAAAAAAUUCUAAUCCAUUUUAUAAAUACGGAAAAUUACAUACCUGCACUGAUAUAAUCCGGAAACUCCGGAAUAUGCAUGGCUUCUAAAUCCAAAACUCGCAUGAAUGAUGGCUCCUCAAACGGCACUUCAUUUGCCAGUGCAUUUACCACAUCUGACACAUCUGGCGCCAUAGGUCCGUCACCUUGAUCUUUAUCUCCAUCUGGACCAACAACUUCGUAGUUGCUUUCGAACUCUUCUUCACUUUCACUAUUAUAGUCUUCCCGUAUAAUAUUCCGGUCGGCCUCAGAUUGCUCAAACUCAACAUACAACUCGAUGAACGCGAGUUGACUCCGAUUUUCAAUAUACAUUGAAAACAUCUCUUGCAUGCUCACUUCGUCCGUUACAUAUUUGGUUUGAAACUGGACGAAUCCACCAAACACUUGUAUAGGAUAUCUAUAUAGAAUACAGGCUACUCUUCUUGCCCUCUCAGAAUGAAUCUUUUCACAGAUCACACCUUUGAGCUCUUCAAAUGAGAUUGUGAAAGGAAUCACAACAUCUAACAGAUUUUCACAAAUAAAUGUUACUCCUUCAGAUGUUUGUAACAAAAUCUGACCAAAAUAAUACACCUUCAAUAAAACUCUGUCACUCAUUAUUCUCAUUCACAUAAACAAGAUGAAAAACUUGAGAACCAGAUUUUUAGCUAUCAUGCCAAGUAAGGAAGAAACAGAGAAACAAAAAACCAGAAGAAAGAACCAUUGAAGAAGGAGAAGAAGAUGCGAGUAGGUCCUCACCAGCAUUCAGACACUUUUAUUUAAAGUCACCAACAACUCGGACCCUGCGAUUAGGUUUACUUCAUUCAAAAAAAUUAUAGAAUAAUAAAAUCGCACCCUCCGAUUCCAUAAACCGAAUUCAUAAAAAAACUACACCCUACUAGCAACUCGGAGGGUCUGAUUAGCACCUUCAGAAAAUACAAAAUUCCAUCCUCUCCAAAUCGGACCCACCGAUUUGUUUAGCCAAAUCUGAAACUCAAACAAGUCGCAUGGUUCGAGUUCAUGGACCUGACACUAACAAAAAACCUGCCCCACAGAAUGGUAUGGAAUCCCAUGACUUCAUAUNACUUUUGUAAAAAAUCAAUUCAAACUAACCCUAAGCUAAGAGGGCUGAAGAAACUUAUCUUGUAUAUAAUAAAGUCCAAUUACAUACCAAGUAAUGAUAUAUAUCCAAAGUAAUUUUUUUUAUUAUCCUCCUAUUCUAAAGCUAUAAAACCUUUGAAAUAAAACUAAUGCCUUCAAAACGAGAUAAUAAUUAAUUUGAUAUCUGAAUUUAUAUACGAGUUUUAAUUUAGUUUUUAAAAUUUUAAUUUUUUAUUUAAUUUUUAAAUUUUGUGAAUAUAAUUUAUGCUAGUUAUUUGGAUAAUUUUCGACGCAUAGACAAUAAUAAAAUGAUGAUGUGAACAAUCGAAUAUCACAUUAAAAUUAGUAAAAUGACGUUGUUUUAAUUUUGACACUUAAAUAAUAUAAAAUAAUAUCGUAGUGAUAUUUAUUAAAAAAUUUUUAAUUAUCUAUGUCAGCGUUCCAUUAAUGUUUAUAUAUCAAAAAUUGUCUCAUGAACUAAUAUAAAUCACGUUUGUAAAGUUAAGAGAUUAAAUAGAAGCAAUUAAAACUUUAAAAAUUAAAUAGAGACAAUUAAAAUUUUAAAGACUAAAUUAAAUUUUGUGUAUAAAUUCAAGAUAAAUUGAGUACUAAUUCCUUCAAAACAUAAAAAAAAAAGCAUGUAGUCUUUCUUUCAUUAUGUUUUGGAAAAGUAUAUGGAAUCAAAAGGUGAUCAGCCAAAAAGUAAACAAAAUCGUUUAAUUAGAAUCAUUUUUUGAAUAAUAUGUUUGAAAACUGCUCCUGGGAUCACGGAGCACAAACUAAAAUCCGAUUUUUCAUGGAGCCCAAACACAUUUUGGCUGGUUUUUGGCUGAUAUGCUUUUGGUUCCCUAGUUGUUCUCGUAUGUUUUUGUAAGAAAAAUAAUUGGAAGAGAUAAUUUAAAAUUGUUUUAAGAUAUAUAAAAAAAUAAAAGAAAAGAUAAUUUAGAAUGAUAAAUAAUUUUUUUAAAAAAAUAUUAUGUAUAUAAAUAUAUUAAAAUCAAUGAUUAUAUAUUUAUGCAUGUUAUUCAAUUUAUUUUUAAUAUAUAUGUAUUUUAUAAUAUACACUUAUGAUUGUUGUUUUUCCUAAUAGUUUUCUUAUUAUAGAAGAAGAAGCAAUGCUUGCAAAGCUAACGAGAGAAGACAAGUAUACUUCACUACAUGGAUUUAAUAAUUGGUCUAAUUGUGACUACAUUUAAAAGCUAACUUUAGACAUACUGCUUCUAUAGUGGUGUUCAUGAUCAUCCCUGCAAUCCAUGGAGAUGAAUGCUUCAUCAUUGGAAACAGAUAUUUUUGGAUGGGAAUUAAAGGACCUCCUUAUUCUCUUGAUUAUAACGGACCAAUAGUAACUUGCGUAAAGAAACAAAAGAAAUUAAAAGUGGAGUAAAAAGCUUGGAUCACAUUAAAAAUGGAUGGAUUAUGAAUCACAUCUUCGGAAACCCUAGAGUUCACGGGACAUUGUCACAAUCAGACAAAAUUUAUAGAGAUUUGGAUUUUCUGCUGUACCAUUUGUUGCUUGCACAUUGCCAUGUCUGAAACUCUUUAUUUUCUAAUCAUCCUCCCAUGAUCCCAUCCACCGUCUGAUUCUUCAGAAUUUACUAGUGCUAUGCCUACUACUAUUUUAUUUGUUCAUCCCAGACACUGUUUUUUCAGCUUGGGAGAAAAACAAAAAACAACCCCUUAAAAUAAAUUAUAUAUUUUUUUUAUAAAGACACUAGUUAAAAAAUCAUAAAUGANNNNNNNNNNNNNNNNNNNNNNNNNNNNNNNNNNNNNNNNNNNNNNNNNNNNNNNNNNNNNNNNNNNNNNNNNNNNNNNNNNNNNNNNNNNNNNNNNNNNNNNNNNNNNNNNNNNNNNNNNNNNNNNNNNNNNNNNNNNNNNNNNNNNNNNNNNNNNNNNNNNNNNNNNNNNNNNNNNNNNNNNNNNNNNNNNNNNNNNNNNNNUGGGUUUAUAAUUUUUAUUAUUUUAAUCUAAUAAAAAGUUAUAAAUACCUUUUAAAUUAUUAUAGUUAUCAGUAGGGUGAUUACUGAUUAGAAGGGUAAAAAUCUUCUUUUUGAUUUCGUAAUGAAAUUCUAGUAUGGACAAAUAAGAUUGAGUGAAUCCUUUCAAUUCAAUUUUUAAACUAUGAACAAAUUAAAUUGAGGAGUCAUAUUUUUGUUGCAUCAAGAAAUUAAGUAAAAAGCCAAUGAGUAAUAGCUCAAAUGGCAUAGUCUCCCCAUACUCAAUUAAAAAGUUGGGUUCGAGUCUCAUAUCUUUGGUAAAAAAAAAUUAAGUAAAAAAUAAAAUAAUUUUUUUUAAUUUAAUUUCAAUUUUUAUUUUUAAUUUUAAUUUUUUUUUUAAUUUCAAUUCUUAUCUUUUUAUUUAUCAUUAGUUAUCAUCUCGUUUCAAGAAAUGUAUAGAAGGAUGUUAUUUUAUUUUAAUAUUCUUUCUAUCAAUUUUAUAUGUUAAUCAAAAUUGAAUUAUAAACUUAGCAAAAAAAGAAAAAGGGUCAUUUGAAGAGUAAUUAGAUAAGUCCAGCGACGUUAGCAACUUAGCAUGUAGAGAAAACGGAUUAGGAGAAGGCACUGGCUUGUGCUUAUCACAUCACAUCACAUACAUUACCACUUUGCUUCAGUGAUGCAAAAUAGCAAAGAGAAAAAUAAAGAAUGCGGGACCGAUGAUCCAUAAUCAUGAAGAAAGAAAGCGGGUAACAUUUAACUUAUAAUUUAAUAAUAAAGAUGAAUAUUUAUCACCUUGUCAUUUUCAUAUACAAACUUGAGUGUUUCUCCACUUUCGUCGAUUGGCUUUAUCCACCAAUGUCACGUGUAACCGAUGAAGGCAAACCAACAAGCAAAAAUAAUCUUUAUUUUCCACAUAUAAAAUCAAAUCUUAUAGAAAAGAAAAGAAAACACAGAUCGUAUAUUUCUAUAUUAUAUUAUAUUAAGAGAAAUCAUUAGAACUUGUCGGUUAAUGGUUAUAUAUAGGCACAGCAUUAGCAUCCCAACUCCCAAGAGUGUGUGAGUGUAGACUGUAGAGUUAUUAGCCAUGGUUUCUCUUAGUCCUAGUCCAUUGGUUGCACUCUGCUUAUUAUGUUUUCUUGCAUUUUGUAUACCUCAAUCUUCUUCUGCAGUCACCAAAAUUGGGCUAGGCUACCGUCUGAUUUCAAUUGAAAAUGGAGCUGAUGGUGCACUUGUUGGGACUCUCCAAGUUAAGCAGAGUAACAACAUCUAUGGUGCUGAUAUUCCCCUUCUAAGGUUCUACGCCAAGUAAGUACUACUUAGCUACUAGUUUGAGUAGUUUCUUCAGUAUUCACUAUCUCUACUUCUCUCUCAAACUUGUUCUAAAAGAUUUCCAUUGUUGCAGGCACGAGAGUGAGAACCGUUUGAGGGUCCACGUCACUGAUGCAAAGAACAAAAGGUGGGAGGUUCCUUAUGAUCUUUUGCCGAGAGAGCAACCACCUCCUUUGAAGCAAAGCAUUGCAUUGUCAAGUUCUUCAGAGAAGAAGAAGAAGAAGAAAAAGAACCACCAAAGAUCAGUGUCAGAGACAGAUUACCCUGGCUCUGAGCUUGUUCUUACUUACACUUCUGACCCUUUCAGCUUUGCGGUGAAAAGAAAGUCAAAUGGGGACACCCUUUUCAACUCAAGCUCUGAUGACACUGACCCAUUUAGUUCAUUGGUGUUCAAGGACCAAUACUUGGAGAUCUCUACCAAAUUGCCCAGAGAUGCUUCUUUGUAUGGAUUAGGAGAGAACUCACAGACACACGGGAUCAAGUUGUAUCCUAAUGACCCUUACACUCUGUAUACUACUGAUAUAGCAGCCAUUAAUGUGAAUGCUGAUUUAUACGGGUCGCACCCAGUGUACAUGGAUCUCAGAAAUGAGGGUGGCAAGGCAUAUGCACAUGGUGUUCUGUUGCUGAAUAGCAAUGGAAUGGAUGUGUUUUACACAGGCACAUCUCUAACAUACAAGGUCAUUGGAGGUGUUUUGGAUUUCUACUUCUUUGCAGGACCUUCUCCUCUCAAUGUUGUUGAUCAAUACACUUCUUUGAUUGGAAGACCAGCUCCAAUGCCUUA